AGAGCAAGGAGCAGCCAUGCUGGGAAAGGAGGUAGGACUGCGAGGAUCCCAGCACCAGGGGCAUGGCCUAGCACCCCAUACUUCCACCCCUGUGACAAAGGACCACGUGGGAAGGAAUGAAGUCUGCAUGUGUCCCCACCAGUGAGUUUGGAGCCCUGAGUGUUCUCUUAAGAUGUCUUAACAUCUCUGAGAACAUUCCUAGUGAAGAACAAUCUCUUCUCAGACAUUUUCCAAAGAAGACAGACGGCCAACAGACACUUGAAAAGAUGCUUGACAUCACUCAUCAUCAGGGAAAUACAAAUCAAAACCACAAUGA